UGCAGGUGGCCCACCAUCUCUGGGGGGCAGCGGAGCCAAGCUGAGGAAAAUCUGCCUCCUCCCUGAGCUUGAAGAAUGCAGCUGAUCUGCAAAUGUCAAAGGGGGGCUGAAGGUCACAUUGGCCAUAAAUUAGGCCUUGGCUUACCACCUAUGGAGUUAGAGGAUCCCUGGCAUGCUAACGGUGUGGCCCUUGAACAUUCAACCGGUUAGCCCAAUGCAGCCUGUCAUCAACCCGCCCUCCUGAACUGAGCCCCUACCUCAUUCAGUAAAGUGGAUAGCCUGUGCACUGAGGAUGACUCAGGAUCAUGUAGUGGAGGCAGCUAUCUGUAGGACUCCUACCUCAUCCAUUGCAGAAGUUGGAAGCUUGUUCCACUGAGAAAAACAACACAGGGCCUGAUCCUGAGAAGUGCUGAGCACCCCCCACAUCGUUGGGAGCUGCUGGUACUCCAUAUCGCUCCGGAUCAGACUCUUACUACAGCAGUCAGAUGAGUCUGAUGGUGGAAGGGCCUUUCAAGUGCAUGCAGAUUACAGCAGAAUGGAACUGAAACGCUACUUGGUUCAUAUAAAUUCAUAUGGGUGAGAUGGAUCCACAUCUGGUGUAAGCACUCACAGCUCCAGUGAAGUCAGGGGAGCCCCAUGUGUCACAUCAGCAGAGGGUCUGUCUACUAAGUUCCAUGCAGUUGUGCGUAGGAUUUUCAGACAAGACCUUACAAACCCAGGUCCAUUCGUUUCUGCAUGGACAUUAAAGAUCUCAAGGACCAUUGUGUGUAAGUGACAGAUCUUUGCCCCGUGUCCUUGGCCAAACUUUCUCCCUUUCUGUUGGGUCUUCUGCUAUGUACUGGCUGUUCUCUUUCCAGCUGGUGGCUGCCCUCAGCCGGACUGUAAGUAUAAAAGUGCUGGUUCUCCUCUGGCUUACACCAGUUUCACACCAGGUCAGUGGAGUGGCUCCUCCUUUACACUGUUGGGAGAUGAGAAAUAGGCUCAGCUUUCUCCUCCCACACAUCUCCCCCUCAUGGUCCCUCCACUGCCCACCAUAUGCCUCUCCCUCUCUUCCCCUUCACUGCCUUCCUUUGUUUCCAUGCUCCCAUGCUUCUGUUAAUUCUUCCCCAGACCUCCCAUCCACCCUGGCCCCCAUAAUAGCAAUAAAAAAAACCUGCGGUGCCAACCAUCACCCUGCUCGUUUUCUAUGUUAUGUCCCUU